GCAAUAACAGGUCUGUGAUGCCCUUAGAUGCCCUGGGCCACAUGCAUGCCACAAUGUUGGCAUCAGUGGUCUGGCACUGGACUCUCUCUGAGAGGAGUGGGGAACACCCCAAACAUCAUCAUGGUAGGGAGUGGGGCUUGCAAUGAUUCCCGUGAACUGGGAAUGCCCCAUAGGGGCCGAUCACCAUUUGGCCCCAAAUGAGUCCCUGCCCUUUGUACACACCACCCGUUGCUACUGCCGAUGGCUGGGUGGGUGAGGGGGCUGGACCAUGAGCCAGAUGCCGAUGCUGGUUGGAUGAGACAGAGCAUGGGAAGGUGUCCGAAUCUGCUGGCUAGAGGAAGUAAAAGUCGUAACAAGGUUUCU
rnacentral:rRNA from 1 species